ensembl:lncRNA
CAUCACUGGCCUCCCUGGCCCCAGCCCCCUUUGCUCUGUUUAGCCUAGGAUGGUAUAUAAAUCUGAAUCAUCUGGCCACCUCUUUGAGUCUCAUUUCUUUGAGAAACUCCCAAAUCUUCGAGCCACAUGAGGGAAGUGCCAAGAGAAUCACUUGCAAGGAGAGGAUGUGCCUGUAAGAAGAGUAGGUCCUGUGACGCUGAGAAGCAAAAUGUCCUGUUCAAGCUAACUUGGUAAUCCUUAGAAGCAGCCCCAAGGAAGAAGAUUGCCACACUCUGCUUGAUCUAAUGGGCCACAACAGCUCCCAAAUUGAAGAAAUGAGGAUUGGCAUGUCAAGGAAGAGAGACAGCUGAGAGAGAAGAUGGUGGCCUGUGACUAAGAAAUACUAACCUCUGGAACUAUGUGACUCUCGGAUAUCGAUUCCGUUCUGCUGCAGGCUCCAGGCUCUGGGACCACUUCUGAUCUUAGACUUGGAGGGCUUUAGGGUCUGAUUUUGGGGCUCAGCACUAAGUCAAUCUUGCUACCCAUUCAGCCAUGACGUUGUAGUCCACUCUGCAUAAAGGUGCUUCUCCCUUGUGCAGAAGAUUCAAUCUCCACAUUGUAUCCUAAUCAUGGUAGCUGGGUCCUUGUCUUGCUCCUUGUGUUUCUCAAUCUGUCUUGUCCUUUUUGAACUGAAGUCUUUCAUUGCCUUACCCAAAGUCAAGAGGUUUCUAGCCAAGAGGUUUCUAGCCUUCAUAUAACUUAACUCCUGUUGGACUCGAUAUUGCCUGUUUCUAGAUUCUUCAUGUCAUCCUUUGAAUGGAUGUUGGGACACCCUCUGCUCCUUUGAGUUGUCCCUCGUUUCCCUCCCCCUGCUUCAUACCAACUAAUAGCCUAGAAAAACAGAUGUUUAUUGUUAAGUAUUUUCCAAACUGCGUCUCCAAUAUCUAGUGGAGUGCCUGGACCAUAGUAGGCAUUCAAUAAAUAUAUAGAGAAUGAAUGAAUUCAUUCUACCUGCCAGCCAGGACUCCUUUCCAGUAUUUGCUGGCAAAGUCCAUUUUCCCAGAAACUGCCGGUCUCAGAGGUUUCUAGAUCUCAGCUCACCCCAGUUUGCCCAGGCUGCCUUGCCUUACCUUGAACUGGGACACAACACCAAAAUAUUAUGCAUCUUUGUAUCAUCAGCAAGGUGUGUCUUCAAUGCCUCAUUCUUCUUUGCAGGUUUUUGAAAAUGUUGGCCUGUUCUAGCUUAUUUUCUCUUUCCUUUGCCUCCUGGUUGUCUCUCAGAAACUUUAGGAAAAAUUUUAUUUGAUGAAAUUAAUUCAUACCAAAGUGCCAAUCACUAACAAUUCAGGGAAGUUAGCCAGUAAACUUCAAGGUAUAGCCCUGGGUUGUAGUUAGUGAAGCCAAGAGGAAGUUCCACCUUAGAUAGAGCGGGAAUGUUUCUAGAAACUGGAGAUAUUUAGCUUGGAGAUCAUCUUGGGAAGGUCAUGGCAGCUAUUUCAAAUAUACAUAUAUGUCUGAUGUGUAAAAGUCAGAAUACAUCUAUAUUGUGCAAAUAAGCAUUGGUGAUGAUCUGCCCUAA